rnacentral:tRNA from 1 species
GGAGAGAUGGCCGAGUGGCUUAAGGCGCACGCUUGGAAAGCGUGUGUGCGUUGACGCGUACCGAGGGUUCGAAUCCCUCUCUCUCCG